rnacentral:rRNA from 1 species
GACAGAGGAUGCAAGCGUUAUCCGGAAUGAUUGGGCGUAAAGCGUCUGUAGGUGGCUUUUCAAGUCCGCCGUCAAAUCCCAGGGCUCAACCCUGGACAGGCGGUGGAAACUACCAAGCUGGAGUACGGUAGGGGCAGAGGGAAUUCCCGGUGUAGCGGUGAAAUGCGUAGAGAUCGGGAGGAACACCAGCGGCGAAGGCGGCAAACUGGAUAGGCACUGACACUCAACAACGAAAGCGUGGGGAGCAAACAGGG